rnacentral:rRNA from 1 species
GAUAAACGCUGGCGGCGCACAUAAGACAUGCAAGUCGAACGGACAGAAGCCAAAUGUUUACAUUAGGUGGAAGUUAGUGGCGGACUGGUGAGUAACACGUAAGCAACCUGCCUAUUAGAGGGGAAUAACAGUGAGAAAUCAUUGCUAAUACCGCAUAUGCCAUAAAGACCACAUGGUCUUAGUGGGAAAGGAGAAAUCCGCUAAUAGAUGGGCUUGCGUCUGAUUAGCUAGUUGGUGGGGUAAAGGCCUACCAAGGCGACGAUCAGUAGCCGAACUGAGAGGUUGAACGGCCACAUUGGGACUGAGAUACGGCCCAG